rnacentral:rRNA from 1 species
CACGUAGGCACCAAGCGUUGUCCGGAUUUAUUGGGCGUAAAGAGCUCGUAGGCGGUUCAGUAAGUCAGGUGUGAAAUCUUUGGGCUUAACCCAAAGCGUGCAUUUGAUACUGCUGUGACUUGAGUUCGGUAGGGGAGUGGGGAAUUCCUAGUGUAGCGGUGAAAUGCGCAGAUAUUAGGAGGAACACCGGUGGCGAAGGCGGAUCUCUGGGCCAUUACUGACGCUGAGGAGCGAAAGCGUGGGGAGCGAACAGG